AUUGAACGCUGGCGGCAGGCUUAAUACAUGCAAGUCGAGCGGGGGAAGGAAGCUUGCUACCGGACCUAGCGGCGGACGGGUGAGUAAUGCUUAGGAAUCUGCCUAUUAGUGGGGGACAACAUCUCGAAAGGGAUGCUAAUACCGCAUACGUCCUACAGGAGAAAGCAGGGGAUCUUCGGACCUUGCGCUAAUAGAUGAGCCUAAGUCGGAUUAGCUAGUUGGUGGGGUAAAGGCCUACCAAGGCGACGAUCUGUAGCGGGUCUGAGAGGAUGAUCCGCCAUACUGGGACUGAGACACGGCCCAGACUCCUACGGGAGGCAGCAUUGUGGAAUAUUGGAUAAUGGGGGGAACCCUGAUCCAGCCAUGCCGCGUGUGUGAAGAAGGCCUUAUGGUUGUAAAGCACUUUAAGCGAGGAGGAGGCUACUUUAGUUAAUACCUAGAGAUAGUGGACGUUACUCGAAGAUUAAGCACCGGCUAACUCUGUACCAGCAGCCGCCGUAA
rnacentral:rRNA from 1 species